CCACGCCCAUCAGGUGGUCCCCCCAGCAGCCUGACAGUUUGAAAAUUCAAACUCAAACGGAGCAAAUAUGCCGCGUCUUCUCCAAAAAUAGUGUCAGUGAAAAUUCCAGGAAGCCACUAAAAUGGCAAAAGGGGUCUACUUGGAUUUCAAACCUCGCUCAGGAUUGUUUAGCAGUGACCACAGAUGACUCCAUGGACACAGAGGACAAAAAUCAUCAAAUGAAGAGCCUUAAUUCCUGAAUGAUCACACGAAGUGCUACCCAGUCAGAAAGACACUGAUAUGAGAGAGGGAUGGAUUUUAUAGGUUGAAGCAUCUGCAAUUCCAGGACCUGGGGCCACUGGAGCUGAAUCUUCUUCCAGAAGCAAUCUGCCAACAGCAGCAAAGCCACCUGCAAGAAAGAAUACAAAGGAGGAGUAAAAGGGAAAUGAUAGCAAGGUAAAGAAUUUACC